rnacentral:lncRNA from 11 species
UGUGGAUUUCCUAAAGGGAUGGAGAAGGGCAGAGACUGGUUGUUUCUCUUUCAAAUGCGUCAUCAAGGAGUCAUCCUAUAAGUCCCUUGGAGAGAGGAUAUACAGUCGCGUUUUCGGCUCUGAUCGUUAGAAGGGUCCCAAGGGAAGCCGCUCCAACCGCACUGUCUUUGCGAGGCAGACAGAAGCUAUCUGUUCUUACACACGCCAUGUGCUUCUACAGAUCCCAAGGGGCAGAGAGCAAGCUGGACCUAAUAGCCCACAAGUGAAAGGAGCACAUCGCUUGGUUAUCGAAUUCAGUCUUCUAGGAUAAAAGAUCCUACCCUUCUCCGUGUCCUCC